rnacentral:tRNA from 1 species
GGAAAGGUGGCCGAGAGGCUUAAGGCAGCGCAUUGCUAAUGCGCCGUAUGCGAAAGCGUACCGGAGGUUCGAAUCCUCUCCUUUCCG